UUCUCGGCGCACGAGACCUCCACUGCGGCUGCGUGGCCCCUUGGCGCGCUCCUGAAGCUUGGAGUGCGCCUGCGUACACUCGGCGGGUGCUGGGGCUAGCACGCCCGACGUUCUCACGCCAGCCUGUGUCUCUCAGGCCAACUGUGCAGACUGCGUUUUCGA
rfam:Rattus norvegicus chromosome 12, whole genome shotgun sequence.